GUCUCUCCGGGGACAUCCUCUAAAAUUGGAACAAUACAGAGAAGAUUAGCAUGGCUCCUGCGCAAGGAUGGCACGCACAUAGCGAGAAAUGGUUCAAUUUUUU